rnacentral:rRNA from 1 species
UAGGGAAUCUUCCGCAAUGGACGAAAGUCUGACGGAGCAACGCCGCGUGAGUGAAGAAGGUUUUCGGUUCGUAAAACUCUGUUGUUAGGGAAGAAAAGAUGUAUAGUAACUAUAUACAAAAGAGACGGUACCUAACCAGAAAGCCACGGCUAACUACGUGCCAGCAGCCGCGGUAAUACGUAGGUGGCAAGCGUUGUCCGGCAUUAUUGGGCGUAAUGCGCGCGCAGGUGGUUUAGAAAGUCUGAUGUGAAAGCCCACGGCUCAACCGUGGAGGGUCAUUGGAAACUAAUAAGCUUGAGUGCAUGAGAGAAAAGUGGAAUUCCUAGUGUAGCGGUGAAAUGCGUAGAGAUUAGGAGGAACGCCGGUGGCGAAAGCGGCUUUUUGGACUGCCACUGACAAUGAGGCGCGAAAGCGUGGGGAGCAAACAGG